rnacentral:misc_RNA from 1 species
UAUAGCGCCAGCUUGGACAGAU